GAUCAGUAGCUGUUCUAAGAGGAAGAUCAGCCACAUUGGGACUGAGAUACGGCCCAGACUCCUACGGGAGGCAGCAGUGAGGAAUUUUGCGCAAUGGGUGAAAUCCUGACGCAGCAACGCCGCGUGACCGAUUGAAGCUUUUAGGAGUGUAAAGGUCUGUCGCGAGGGAAGAAAAUAACCGAGAAGAAAAGUUCGGUAGUUGACGGUACCUCGCAAGCAAGCUCCGGCUAACUUCGUGCCAGCAGCCGCGGUAAUACGAGGGGAGCAAGCGUUGUCCGAAAUAACUGGGCGUAAAGGGUACGUAGGCUUUUUUGUAUGUUUUCGGUGAAAGUCACAGGCUUAACUUGUGAAUUGCCGGAAAAACUGCAGAGAUUGAAUCCGAAAGGGGAAAGCAGAAUUCCUGGUGUAGCGGUGAAAUGCGUAGAUAUCAGGAGGAAUACCAGUGGCGAAGGCGGCUUUCUGGUUCGGAAUUGACGCUGAUGUACUAAAGCGUGGGUAGCAAACAGGAUUAGAUACCCUGGUAGUCCACGCCUUAAACUAUGGAUACUUGAUGUCGGGGCGUUCGGUCGACCCGGUGUCGUAGCUAACGUGUUAAGUAUCCCGCCUGGGGACUACGGUCGCAAGACUGAAACUCAAAGGAAUUGACGGGGGCCCGCACCAGCGGUGGAACAUGUGGUUUAAUUCGAUGCAACGCGAAGAACCUUACCUGGGCUUGACAUAUAUAUGGUGUAUGUAAGAAAUUAUGUAUUCUGUCUGUUUUUUCAGAUAGCAUAUAUACAGGUGAUGCAUGGCUGUCGUCAGCUCGUGUCGUGAGAUGUAGGGUUAAGUCCCUUAACGAGCGCAACCCUUGCUUUUAGUUGCCAUCAGGUAAUGCUGGGGACUCUAGAAGGACUGCCGAGGUUAACUCGGAGGAAGGUGGGGAUGACGUCAAGUCAGUAUGUCCCUUAUGUCCAGGGCUACACACGUGUUACAAUGGUCGGUACAGAGUGACGCUAAUCCACGAGGUGGCGCCAAUCACUUAAAGCCGAUCCCAGUUCGGAUUGGAGUCUGCAAUUCGACUCCAUGAAGUUGGAAACGCUAGUAAUCGCAGAACAGCAUGCUGCGGUGAUACGUUCCCGGGCCUUGUACACACCGCCCGUCACGCCAUGGAAGUUGGGAGUACCCGAAGUUGCUGUCCAUACGUU
rnacentral:rRNA from 1 species